AUGGAUAAGCUGGUGACUCAUGCGCGGGCACUAUGGUGGUCCAGGUGCAAAGUUCAACCUCUGUAUAUGGGUACACAUCCUCCUUGCCGAGCCCCAAGUUCAACCUCUGACUGGGUACACAUCCUCCUUGCUGAGCUCAAUCUCAAGAAGUACCUUUGGUUGCUCUACAACACCAACAUCAAUGCGUUGGUUUGGCCGUGUUCUUCUGUGUAUUCUUUUUUAUGGACAAUUUUUGUUUGUGGUGAGAUGGGGAGGUGCAAAGUGAGGAUGACUUUGACAUGUAAAUCUCACGGAAUAUAA
rnacentral:rRNA from 1 species